AUCAAUGGAGCAAGCAGGGGGACUGAAGCCUGAGUUCAGUGCAAACUGUGUCCUACCACACUCAACUCUGGAGAAUCAGACUCUGCUGAGAUGCCUCUUCUUGUGGCACCAUCCUUAUAAUUGGGUCUAAAUCUUCACUUAAGUAUCAUUUAUUAAAGUUGAGUCCUUACGAAUUGAUUCCUGUGUGAUCCUCAACGUUCCUCUGACCUGUUGCAAAUGCUGGCUCUGACUAAGGGCUCCUACAGCUUUCUGCUUCUCUAACCAGAGAAUUUACUGUUUAUAACUUCUCAGUGAGAAAGCCCACUCUGACACAGGGGUGAAGGUAUAUUGAUUUUUGUAUACAUGUAUUUUAAUAAAAGUAAUUCAUGC
ensembl:lncRNA novel transcript